GCACCCCGCCCGCCCUCUAAAUCGGGCCCUCGGCAUGCCCUCCGAAGGCAGAGGCCACAGGUUCGAAUCCUGUCGGGUGCGCCA
rnacentral:tRNA from 1 species